AACCCCCCGUGCGGCGAUAACUCGCCCAACUCCCCCAGGGCCGGAAGGCAGCAAGGGUCAGUGAGCUCUUUCGGGUGCGCGGGGGGCCUUU
rnacentral:SRP_RNA from 1 species